GCCCGUUUGAGCUUCGGUGGUCCGGGGUGCAGGCUUCAAACCUGUAGCCGUUGUGAAACGGAGUGGUUCGAUUCCACCUGACGGGCG